UACGUAGGUGGCGAGCGUUAUCCGGAAUUAUUGGGCGUAAAGCGCGUGUAGGUGGCUCUAUAAGUCAGUUGUGAAAUCUCCCGGCUCAACCGGGAACGGGCAUCUGAAACUGCAAGACUUGAGUGCUAGAGGGGAAGGCGGAAUUCCUAGUGUAGCGGUAAAAUGCGUAGAUAUUGGGAGGAACACCAGUGGCGAAGGCGGCCUUCUGGAUAUUAACUGACGCUGAGGCGCGAAAGCGUGGGGAGCAAACAGG
rnacentral:rRNA from 1 species